UACGGAGGGUGCAAGCGUUAUCCGGAUUCACUGGGUUUAAAGGGUGCGUAGGAGGGCAGGUAAGUCAGUGGUGAAAUCUCCAAGCUUAACUUGGAACUGCCGUUGAUACUAUCUGUCUUGAAUACCGUGGAGAUGAGCGGAAUAUGUCAUGUAGCGGUGAAAUGACUUAGAUAUGACAUAGAACACCAAUUGCGAAGGCAGCUCGUUACACGAAUAUUGACUCUGAGGCACGAAAGCGUGGGGAUCAAACAGG
rnacentral:rRNA from 1 species